AUGGAUGUCCUGGGGCUGCUUCUCUGCCUGGUGGCUGCUCCCUGCUGUGUCCUGUCCCAGGUGCAGCUGCAGGAGUCAGGUCCUGGCCUGGUGAAACCCUCACAGACCCUGUCUCUCACCUGCUCUGUCUCUGGAUUCUCUUUAACGAGCUAUGAUUUGCACUGGAUCCGCCAGCCUCCAGGAAAGGGGCUGGAGUGGGUCGGUGCAAUAUCGAGUGGUGGAAACACAUAUUAUAAUACAGAUCUUAAAUCCCGAGUCACCAUCACCAGGGACACCUCCAAGAGCCAAUCUUAUUUAACAUUGGGCAGCCUGAUAGUCGAGGACACGGCCGUGUAUUACUGUGUGAGAGACACAGUGAGGGGAAGUCACCAGAAGAGUGACUACCGGGCACUUUAUGAUGGAGUGUCCUCAGGUGGAUACAAGAGCAGUGGGAUGUCUCCAGCCCAUGCACUUCGGCACAAGCAUUACUUAGCCCCUCCCACUCUUCUGUCCUCUGCAUCCAGCAAGCCACGUGUUUAUCUGAUCUGUGUCCCUGUGUCAAGGUUGUGA